UAUAUAUAUAUAUAUAUAUAUAUAAGAAUUAAUAAUUGGAUGAAAGAGGUAUUUAAAAUUUCUUAGUUAAAUUAGAUAAAAUGCAUUUUAGUUAGCUAUUUUAGAUUGGAAUUUAGACAAUUCGCUGUGAAUGCUGAGGAGCUGACACGAGAUGGACUAAGGGCUAGCUGCUAAUGACUGGAAAUUGAGAGGGAAGGAAGGCAUGUGGGUCUGGGAGAUGUGGCAGAGGAAAGAAUAGAAAGCUUUUUAAUACUGCCAGUACGUCUACUACGACCAACCCCACAUCAAAGAAUGAGAAGAAUGUAGAGAAUGAGAAUUUCAGGGUUAACCCGAGGCCUGCUUUUGAGCACUAUGACAUGGACCAUCCUCCAAAGCAAAAACCCCCAAUUCAUCAUUGAGUAUCGGGAUAAGUUUGGAAUCAUGUCUUGUUAGAGAUAUUUGAUACGCGGUGACCUCUGGGGGCGUAUCUAUACUCUAUAGGGCUUAAUUUUUUUUAUUUAUUUUUUCUUUCUACAAUUUGUGGGGCCUUGUUUUUUCUUUUGUAGAAAUAAUUGCAGAGGCCUAAUGGGUGUUUUUUUUAGGCCAUAUUCUUUCUUUUGU